AGAGUUUGAUCCUGGCUCAGAACGAACGCUGGCGGCGUGCUUAACACAUGCAAGUCGCGUGCGCAGUUCGCGUAGCAAUACGUGGAUGGGCGCACGGCGCACGGGUGCGUAACACGUGGGCAACCUGCCCUCUGAUGGGGAAUAACCCCGCGAAAGCGGGGCUAAUACCGCAUAACAUUCCUUGGAUUAUGGUUUGAGGAAUCAAAGCAGUGAUGCGUCGGAGGAGGGGCCCGCGCCCGAUUAGGUAGUUGGUGAGGUAACGGCUCACCAAGCCAAUGAUCGGUAGCUGGUCUGAGAGGAUGAUCAGCCACACUGGAACUGAGACACGGUCCAGACUCCUACGGGAGGCAGCAGUGGGGAAUCUUGCACAAUGGGCGAAAGCCUGAUGCGGCGACGCCGCGUGGGGGAUGAAGCUUUUCGGAGUGUAAACCCCUUUCGACCGGGACGAAUGCCCGCAAGGGAGUGACGGUACCGGUAUAAGAAGCCCCGGCUAACUACGUGCCAGCAGCCGCGGUAAGACGUAGGGGGCCAGCGUUGUUCGGAAUUACUGGGUGUAAAG
rnacentral:rRNA from 1 species